rnacentral:rRNA from 1 species
UACGUAGGGGGCAAGCGUUGUCCGGAAUCAUUGGGCGUAAAGAGCGUGUAGGCGGCCCGGUAAGUCCGCUGUGAAAGUCCAGGGCUCAACCCUGGAAUGCCGGUGGAAACUGUCGGGCUAGAGUCCGGAAGAGGCGAGUGGAAUUCCUGGUGUAGCGGUGAAAUGCGCAGAUAUCAGGAGGAACACCAAUUGCGAAGGCAGCUCGCUGGGACGUAACUGACGCUGAGACGCGAAAGCGUGGGAGCAAACAGG